UUCUCUUGUGGGCAUUUAGUGCUAUAAAAUUCCCUCUACACACUGCUUUAAAUGUGUCCCAGGGAUUCUGAUA
rnacentral:snRNA from 1 species